AUAUAAUCAAUCGGCAUUUGUUUAGGGAGAUAGUCUCCGAAUUGAGAGAUGGCUUCGGUCGGUCCCGAGCAAUGACAUUGACCCUGUAGUUGUUGGAGUUUGUAAUGACAUCUAUAGCAUACAACACGGUAUACAUAACUCUGAAAUAUAUUUAGGCAGCAAAGUAACCGUAGAAGCAGCAGCAGCAGACUGACCGUGGCAAGAAGCAGCAGCAGCAGACUGACCGUGGCAAGAAGCAGCAGCCAUAGCUGUAAAAGCUGUUGACGUAGAUGUUGACUGCACUGUGCUGAGAGCUGACAGAGCAGUCAUGUCAAGCACCGUAGUCACUGGGAGGUCUCGGUCACGUAACAGCAUCUGUAACAUACAAGUCCGUCAACAAAGGUUUAAUUGUUUUAGACAGCAUACGAACAGGAAUUGUCACUGUCGAGGGUGCUGUACGUCUUGGAGCGGACCUUGGGAACAGUGUCGGGAACAGAGUCUAUAGUAUACAACACUGUGAACAAAAAUCAUAGUUGUUUUGACAUCAUGCUGUGACCCUAGAACACUGGCACUAGCAUGUACUACAGCAGACCGAGAAAAACGAGUUUGGACGGCAGGAGCCAGAGAAGCACGAACAUGUACGACAGGAGACUGUGUAUAGAAAGGGGAGAAUCUAUCACAAAAUAAUUAUUUAGCAAUGAUAAAAUAUUGAAUUUUCGUUGAAAUUACCCGGUAACUAUAAUGUAUCAUUAUUUCUAAUAGGGGAUGGAGACAAAGCAAACAGAGGAAACAGAGAAACAUCCAGUGUUGGGGAAAGGGGAAGAUCUGUCACGGGACAGAUUAGAAACCUAUCUGGUGUAACUUCCCGUCUAUUUCCGGUCUAUUUUCCGUUUAUUCCAACAUGUUCUAUUUUAUUGUUUGUCUAUCCGUUUACCAUCAAACUGUAACAUUACUGCAAUACAACAUAACGCUGAAGCUGUGGCAACAAUUAUCAACACAAAGCAAGCAAUUACUCAGCAGCAAUUGUUCUUGUGAGACCUCAAAGUUGGGCAUUCGGAUUCGGAACUUCCUAUGGACUUCUUGAUACCACUAUCAUGUCGUGUACGAUUACACUUUGUGGCGAGUUUGCUUGUGUAUGCUUUCUGAGCAGUCGCUUUUCCAACAUUUGUAGGACCUCGACGUCUGCGUCUAC